rnacentral:rRNA from 1 species
AGUGAACGCUGGCGGUAGGCCUAACACAUGCAAGUCGAACGGCAGCACAGGAGAGCUUGCUCUCUGGGUGGCGAGUGGCGGACGGGUGAGGAAUACAUCGGAAUCUACUUUUUCGUGGGGGAUAACGUAGGGAAACUUACGCUAAUACCGCAUACGACCUACGGGUGAAAGCAGGGGAUCUUCGGACCUUGCGCGAUUGAAUGAGCCGAUGUCGGAUUAGCUAGUUGGCGGGGUAAAGGCCCACCAAGGCGACGAUCCGUAGCUGGUCUGAGAGGAUGAUCAGCCACACUGGAGAUGAGACACGGUCCAGACUCCUACGGGAGGCAGCAGUGAGGAAUAUUGGACAAUGGGCGCAAGCCUGAUCCAGCCAUACCGCGUGGGUGAAGAAGGCCUUCGGGUUGUAAAGCCCUUUUGUUGGGAAAGAAAUCCAGCUGGCUAAUACCCGGUUGGGAUGACGGUACCCAAAGAAUAAGCACCGGCUAACUUCGUGCCAGCCGCCGCCGUAA